rnacentral:rRNA from 1 species
UACGUAGGGAGCAAGCGUUGUCCGGAAUCAUUGGGCGUAAAGCGCGCGUAGGCGGCCCCGUAAGUCCGCUGUGAAAGUCAAAGGCUCAACCUUUGAAAGCCGGUGGAAACUGUGGGGCUAGAGUCCGGAAGAGGCGAGUGGAAUUCCUGGUGUAGCGGUGGAAUGCGCAGAUAUCAGGAGGAACACCAAUGGCGAAGGCAGCUCGCUGGGACGGUACUGACGCUGAGACGCGAAAGCGUGGGGAGCGAACAGG